AGUGAACGCUGGCGGUAGGCCUAACACAUGCAAGUCGAACGGCAGCACAGUAAGAGCUUGCUCUUACGGGUGGCGAGUGGCGGACGGGUGAGGAAUACAUCGGAAUCUACUUUUUCGUGGGGGAUAACGUAGGGAAACUUACGCUAAUACCGCAUACGACCUACGGGUGAAAGCAGGGGAUCUUCGGACCUUGCGCGAUUGAAUGAGCCGAUGUCGGAUUAGCUAGUUGGCGGGGUAAAGGCCCACCAAGGCGACGAUCCGUAGCUGGUCUGAGAGGAUGAUCAGCCACACUGGAAAUGAGACACGGUCCAGACUCCUACGGGAGGCAGCAGUGGGGAAUAUUGGACAGUGGGCGCAAGCCUGAUCCAGCCAUACCGCGUGGGUGAAGAAGGCCUUCGGGUUGUAAAGCCCUUUUGUUGGGAAAGAAAAGCAGCAGGUUAAUACCCCGCUGUUCUGACGGUACCCAAAGAAUAAGCACCGGCUAACUUCGU
rnacentral:rRNA from 1 species